UACAGAGGUCUCAAGCGUUGUUCGGAUUCAUUGGGCGUAAAGGGUGCGUAGGUGGGCAGGAAAGUCAGUGGUGAAAUCUCCGGGCUUAACCCGGAAACUGCCAUUGAUACUAUUUUGUCUUGAAUACUUUUGGAGGUAAGCGGAAUAUGUCAUGUAGCGGUGAAAAUGCUUAGAUAUGACAUAGAACACCAAUUGCGCAGGCAGCUUACUACACAGUAAUUGACACUGAGGCACGAAAAGCGUGGGGGAUCAAACAGG
rnacentral:rRNA from 1 species